rnacentral:rRNA from 1 species
UACGGGGGGGGCAAGCGUUGUUCGGAAUUACUGGGCGUAAAGGGCUCGUAGGCGGCUAACUAAGUCAGACGUGAAAUCCCUCGGCUUAACCGGGGAACUGCGUCUGAUACUGGAUGGCUUGAGUUUGGGAGAGGGAUGCGGAAUUCCAGGUGUAGCGGUGAAAUGCGUAGAUAUCUGGAGGAACACCGGUAGCGAAGGCGGCAUCCUGGACCAACACUGACGCUGAGUGAGCGAAAGCCAGGGGAGCAAACGGG